AUGAACGCUGGCGGCGUGCCUAAUACAUGCAAGUCGCGCGAACAGACGAGGAGCUUGCUCCUCUGACGUUAGCGGCGGACGGGUGAGUAACACGUGGAUAACCUACCUAUAAGACUGGGAUAACUUCGGGAAACCGGAGCUAAUACCGGAUAAUAUAUUGAACCGCAUGGUUCAAUAGUGAAAGACGGUUUUGCUGUCACUUAUAGAUGGAUCCGCGCCGCAUUAGCUAGUUGGUAAGGUAACGGCUUACCAAGGCAACGAUGCGUAGCCGACCUGAGAGGGUGAUCGGCCACACUGGAACUGAGACACGGUCCAGACUCCUACGGGAGGCAGCAGUAGGGAAUCUUCCGCAAUGGGCGAAAGCUUGACGGAGCAACGCCGCGUGAGUGAUGAAGGUCUUCGGAUCGUAAAACUCUGUUAUUAGGGAAGAACAAAUGUGUAAGUAACUAUGCACGUCUUGACGGUACUUAAUCAGAAAGCCACGGCUAACUACGUG
rnacentral:rRNA from 1 species